rnacentral:rRNA from 1 species
CAGAUGAUUGGGGUGAAGUCGUAACAAGGUAGCCGUAUCGGAAGGUGCGGCUGGAUCACCUCCUUUCUAAGGA